UACGCGGGGGGCAAGCGUUGUUCGGAAUUACUGGGCGUAAAGGGCUCGUAGGCGGCCAACUAAGUCAGACGUGAAAUCCCUCGGCUUAACCGGGGAACUGCGUCUGAUACUGGAUGGCUUGAGUUCAGGAGAGGGAUGCGGAAUUCCAGGUGUAGCGGUGAAAUGCGUAGAUAUCUGGAGGAACACCGGUGGCGAAGGCGGCAUCCUGGACCGACACUGACGCUGAGGAGCGAAAGCCAGGGGAGCAAACGGG
rnacentral:rRNA from 1 species